rnacentral:rRNA from 1 species
GUAGUCAUAUGCUUGUCUCAAAGAUUAAGCCAUGCAUGUCUAAGUAUAAGCAACUUGUACAGUGAAACUGCGAAUGGCUCAUUAAAUCAGUUAUCGUUUAUUUGAUAGUACCUUACUACUUGGAUAACCGUGGUAAUUCUAGAGCUAAUACAUGCUAAAAAUCCCGACCUCUGGAAGGGAUGUAUUUAUUAGAUAAAAAACCAAUGCCUUCGGGCUCCUUGGUGAUUCAUGAUAACUUUACGAAUCGCAUGGCCUUGUGCCGGCGAUGGUUCAUUCAAAUUUCUGCCCUAUCAACUUUCGAUGGUAGGAUAGUGGCCUACCAUGGUUUCAACGGGUAACGGGGAAU